GCCCGGAUGGCGAAAUCGGUAGACGCAGCGGACUUAAAAUCCGCCAGCCGCAAGGCUUUGCCGGUUCGAGUCCGGCUCCGGGCACCA
rnacentral:tRNA from 1 species